UACGGAGGAGGCAAGCGUUAUCCGGAAUUAUUGGGCGUAAAGCGUCCGCAGGUGGCACUUCAAGUCUGUCGUCAAAGACUGGGGCUUAACCCUGGAAAGGCGGUGGAAACUGAAGCGCUAGAGUGCGGUAGGGGUAGAGGGAAUUCCCGGUGUAGCGGUGAAAUGCGUAGAGAUUGGGAAGAACACCCGUGGCGAAAGCGCUCUGCUGGACUGCAACUGACGUUGAGGGACGAAAGCUAGGGGAGCGAAUGGG
rnacentral:rRNA from 1 species